rnacentral:rRNA from 1 species
AUUGAACGCUGGCGGCAUGCUUACACAUGCAAGUCGAACGGCAGCGCGGGCUUCGGCCUGCGGCGAGUGGCGAACGGGUGAGUAAUACAUCGGAACGUGCCCAGUAGUGGGGGAUAGCUCGGCGAAAGCCGGAUUAAUACCGCAUACGACCUGAGGGUGAAAGCGGGGGAUCUUCGGACCUCGCGCUAUUGGAGCGGCCGAUGGCAGAUUAGCUGGUUGGUGGGGUAAAGGCCUACCAAGGCGACGAUCUGUAGCUGGUCUGAGAGGACGACCAGCCACACUGGGACUGAGACACGGCCCAGACUCCUACGGGAGGCAGCAGUGGGGAAUUUUGGACAAUGGGCGCAAGCCUGAUCCAGCAAUGCCGCGUGUGUGAUGAAGGCCUUCGGGUUGUAAAGCACUUUUGGCGGGAACGAAAAGGACUGUGCCAAUACCACGGUUCGAUGACGGUACCCGCAGAAUAAGCACGGCUAAU